UUCCAUAUUGAGAUUGUGAUGUGUGCAAAGAGAACAACUCACACGAGUGCUGGAGUUGGAGAGACGAUCACCAUAUUUAUGAAAAAGUGGUGUCAAAGGGAGCUCGAAGAAGUCAUCUGUGUAAACCUGGCAAAUGCUGGACUAACAGCCCGUAUGCCAAGUCAAAAAUCUGAAGCGAUUUGAAAUGACUGAGAUUUUAAACCUCAAAAAUUACUGUUUAUAAUGGAAACUCAGACAUAAUAGUCCAUGGUGAAGAUUCAGUCACCAUAGUCAGCAGAUCAAAGCCAGAGACGAGGUGACAUACACCUAAGAUAUUCAAACUCUGGCUUGAAGGUCAAUUGGAUCUGCCGACAUAUGUUGCUGAUUUUGUAACAUGAAAGCCAGUUAAAAAGAACAGAUCAGUGAAAUGCAUGUACUCCGUAUUCUUAAUUUCAAUCCUAUCCAAAUGUUUACAGACUAGUUUGAAGAGAUUUACGGUUUCUUGUUAUCAGUCCUAUUAAAGCUUGGCAAGUCUA